rnacentral:rRNA from 1 species
UACAGAGGGUGCGAGCGUUGUCCGGAAUCACUGGGCGUAAAGGGCGCGUAGGCGGCCUGAUAAGUCGGGGGUGAAAUCCUGUGGCUCAACCACAGGGCUGCCUCCGGGACUGUCGGGCUCGAGCACAGUAGAGGCAGGUGGAAUUCCCGGUGUAGCGGUGGAAUGCGUAGAGAUCGGGAAGAACAUCGGUGGCGAAGGCGGCAUCCUGGACCGGUAUUGACGCUGAGGCGCGAAAGCCAGGGGAGCAAACGUG